rnacentral:rRNA from 1 species
CCUACGGGAGGCAGCAGUGAGGAAUAUUGGUCAAUGGGCGCGAGCCUGAACCAGCCAAGUAGCGUGAAGGAUGACUGCCCUACGGGUUGUAAACUUCUGUUAUAAAGGAAUAAAGUGAGGCACGUGUGCCUUUUUGGAUGGACGUUAUGAAUAAGGAUCGGCUAACUCCGUGCCAGCAGCCGCGGUAAUACGGAGGAACCGAGCGUUAGCCGGAUUUCUGGGGUUUAAAGGGAGCGUAGAGGGGUUGUUAAGUCAGUUGUGAAAGUUUGCGGCUCAACCGUAAAAUUGCAAUUGAUACUGGCAGUCUUGAGUACAGUUGAGGUAGGCGGCAUUCGUGGUGUAGCGG